rnacentral:tRNA from 1 species
AGUUAUUAAGUUUAAAACAUGAAUUUUGAAAAUUCAAAUUAGAGGUAUUAACCUCAAUAACUU